rnacentral:ncRNA from 1 species
AUAAUAGAGGCGCAAUUAAAAAUAGUAGUAUUUUGGAGAUCGACAAAUCGCUGAAGAUUUACGAAAGGGUUAAUUGCCGAAGCAAGUACAUGUCAAAGUACUUAGCUGGGACUUAAUUUAAUAAAUUAAGUACUCUCACUUUUUUAAGUGAUGGAGC